rnacentral:rRNA from 1 species
UACGUAGGGGGCAAGCGUUGUCCGGAAUUAUUGGGCGUAAAGAGCUCGUAGGCGGUUUGUCGCGUCUGCUGUGAAAGCCCGGGGCUCAACCCCGGGUCUGCAGUGGGUACGGGCAGACUAGAGUGCAGUAGGGGAGACUGGAAUUCCUGGUGUAGCGGUGAAAUGCGCAGAUAUCAGGAGGAACACCGAUGGCGAAGGCAGGUCUCUGGGCUGUAACUGACGCUGAGGAGCGAAAGCGUGGGGAGCGAACAGG